ACGAACGCUGGCGGCGUGCUUAAGACAUGCAAGUCGAGCGAGGGGAUUCUUUCAGCUUGCUGUGAGGGUCUCCUAGCGGCGGACGGGUGAGUAACGCGUGGGCAACCUACCCGCGAAUCGGGGACAACAGUGGGAAACCGCUGCUAAUACCGGAUGAGCUUUGCUUGCUGCAUGGCAGGCAAAGGAAAGGCAGCCUCUGCUUAGCAAGCUGUCGUUCACGGAUGGGCCCGCGUCCCAUUAGCUAGUUGGUGGAGGUAACGGCCCACCAAGGCGACGAUGGGUAGCCG
rnacentral:rRNA from 1 species